rnacentral:rRNA from 1 species
AGUGAACGCUGGCGGUAGGCCUAACACAUGCAAGUCGAACGGCAGCACAGUAAGAGCUUGCUCUUACGGGUGGCGAGUGGCGGACGGGUGAGGAAUACAUCGGAAUCUACUUUUUCGUAGGGGAUAACGUAGGGAAACUUACGCUAAUACCGCAUACGACCUACGGGUGAAAGCAGGGGAUCUUCGGACCUUUCGCGAUUGACUGAGCCGAUGUCGGAUUAGCUAGUUGGCGGGGUAAAGGCCCACCAAGGCGACGAUCCGCAGCUGGUCUGAGAGGAUGAUCAGCCACACUGGAACUGGGACACGGUCCAGACUCCUACGGGAGGCAGCAGUGGGAAAUAUUGGACAAAGGGCGCAAGCCUGAUCAAGCCAUACCGCGUGGGUGAAGAAGGCCUUCGGGUUGUAAAGCCUUUUUGUUGGGAAAGAAAAGCAGCAGGUUAAUACCCCGCUGUUCUGACGGUACCCAAAGAAUAAGCACCGGCUAACUUCGUG